ACGAACGCUGGCGGCGUGCUUAACACCUGCCAGUCGAACGGAAAGGCCCCCACCUUGGUGGGGGUGCUCGAGUGGCGAACGGGUGAGUAACACGUGGGUGAUCUGCCCUGUACUUCGGGAUAAGCUUGGGAAACUGGGUCUAAUACCGGAUAGGACCAUGGUUUAGUGUCUCAUGGUGGAAAAAUUAUUGUUUUGGUGCAGGAUGAGCUCGCGGCCUAUCAGCUUGUUGGUGGGGUAAUGGCCUACCAAGGCGUCGACGGGUAGCCGGCCUGAGAGGGUGGACGGCCAGAUUGGGACAGAGAGACGGCCCAGACUCGUACGGGAGGCAGCAGUGGGGAAUAUUGCACAAUGGGCGCAAGCCUGAGGCAGCGACGCCGCGUGGGGGAUGACGGCCUUCGGGUUGUAAACUCCUUUCGUUAGGGACGAAGCCACACCUUUUUUGGGUGUGGUGACGGUACCUUUGUUAAGAAGCACCGGCUAACUACGUG
rnacentral:rRNA from 1 species